UAGAAGUGAGCAUGCAGGCAUGAGUAGCGAUAAUUAAUGUGAGAAUCAUUAACGCCGUAAACCCAAGGUUUCCUACGCGAUGCUCGUCAUCGUAGGGUUAGUCGGGUCCUAAGUCGAGUCCGAAAGGGGUAGACGAUGGCAAAUUGGUUAAUAUUCCAAUACCAACAUUAGUGUGCGAUGGAAGGACGCUUAGGGCUAAGGGGGCUAGCGGAUGGAAGUGCUAGUCUAAGGUCGUAGGAGGUUAUACAGGCAAAUCCGUAUAACAAUACUCCGAGAACUGAAAGGCUUUUUGAAGUCUUCGGAUGGAUAGAAGAACCCCUGAUGCCAUCGAGCCAAGAAAAGUUUCUAAGUUUAGCUAAUGUUGCCCGUACCGUAAACCGACACAGGUGGGUGGGAUGAGUAUUCUAAGGCGCGUGGAAGAACUCUCUUUAAGGAACUCUGCAAAAUAGCACCGUAUCUUCGGUAUAAGGUGUGGUUCGCUUCGUAUUAGGAUUUACUCCGAAAGCGAAGAAACUUACAACAAAGAGUCCCUCCCGACUGUUUACCAAAAACACAGCACUCUGCUAACUCGUAAGAGGAUGUAUAGGGUGUGACGCCUGCCCGGUGCUCGAAGGUUAAUUGAUGGGGUUAGCAUUAGCGAAGCUCUUGAUCGAAGCCCGAGUAAACGGCGGCCGUAACUAUAACGGUCCUAAGGUAGCGAAAUUCCUUGUCGGUUAAAUACCGACCUGCAUGAAUGGCGUAACGAGAUGGGAGCUGUCUCAAAGAGGGAUCCAGUGAAAUUGUAGUGGAGGUGAAAAUUCCUCCUACCCGCGGCAAGACGGAAAGACCCCGUGGACCUUUACUACAGCUUGACACUGCUAUUUGGAUAAGAAUGUGCAGGAUAGGUGGGAGGCUUUGAGUAUAUGACGCCAGUUGUAUAUGAGCCAUUGUUGAGAUACCACUCUUUCUUAUUUGGGUAGCUAACCAGCUUGAGUUAUCCUCAAGUGGGACAAUGUCUGGUGGGUAGUUUGACUGGGGCGGUCGCCUCCCAAAUAAUAACGGAGGCUUACAAAGGUUGGCUCAGAACGGUUGGAAAUCGUUCGUAGAGUAUAAAGGUAUAAGCCAGCUUAACUGCAAGACAUACAAGUCAAGCAGAGACGAAAGUCGGUCUUAGUGAUCCGGUGGUUCUGUGUGGAAGGGCCAUCGCUCAAAGGAUAAAAGGUACCCCGGGGAUAACAGGCUGAUCUCCCCCAAGAGCUCACAUCGACGGGGAGGUUUGGCACCUCGAUGUCGGCUCAUCGCAUCCUGGGGCUGGAGCAGGUCCCAAGGGUAUGGCUGUUCGCCAUUUAAAGCGGUACGCGAGCUGGGUUCAGAACGUCGUGAGACAGUUCGGUCCCUAUCUGCCGUGGGCGUAAGAAGAUUGAAGAGAUUUGACCCUAGUACGAGAGGACCGGGUUGAACAAACCACUGGUGUAGCUGUUGUUCUGCCAAGAGCAUCGCAGCGUAGCUAAGUUUGGAAAGGAUAAACGCUGAAAGCAUCUAAGCGUGAAGCCAACUCUAAGAUGAAUCUUCUCUAAGCUCUCUAGAAGACUACUAGUUUGAUAGGCUGGGUGUGUAAUGGAUGAAAGUCCUUUAGCUGACCAGUACUAAUAGAGCGUUUGGCUUAUCUUUAAUAAAGCAU
rnacentral:rRNA from 1 species